CCUACGGGAGGCAGCAGUGGGGAAUAUUGCACAAUGGGGGGAACCCUGAUGCAGCAACGCCGCGUGGGUGAAGAAGUACUCCGGUAUGUAAAGCCCUGUCAGCAGGGAAGAAAAUGACGGUACCUGACCAAGAAGCCCCGGCUAACUACGUGCCAGCAGCCGCGGUAAUACGUAGGGGGCAAGCGUUAUCCGGAUUUACUGGGUGUAAAGGGAGCGUAGACGGCAAGGCAAGUCUGGAGUGAAAGCCCGGGGCCCAACCCCGGGACUGCUUUGGAAACUGUGUUGCUGGAGUGCAGGAGGGGUAAGCGGAAUUCCUAGUGUAGCGGUGAAAUGCGUAGAUAUUAGGAGGAACACCGGUGGCGAAGGCGGCUUACUGGACUGUAACUGACGUUGAGGCUCGAAGGCGUGGGGAGCAAACAGGAUUAGAUACCCUAGUAGUC
rnacentral:rRNA from 1 species